ACAACUCCACUUCAAUUUCUAGCCAAACCUCAAUCUUGGUGUCAUUGUUCCUUUGGUUUUUGAUGGCUUUCAAUACAUCUUUUUUCAAUUGCUUUGGCCUCUCCUCAAACUCAUCAUCUCAAGUUUCAAAUUAUGAUGAAAAACUAUCUCAAACAAAAACAUCAUCUUUAGAGAAACUAAAGAGAAAAGAAAAAUCAAAAGGAGCUCCAAUUGUAGUUUCUUAUUUUCCUAUUAACUCUAAUCUCUCACGUUUAUAGUAUUAAUCUCCAUCUUAUCAAAAAGUGCAAAAUCAACAUUUAUUUAUUAUUUAGUGUUUGGUUUUAUUUUAUUUGAUUUUUCUUGUUUUUAUGAGUAAAGUCAAGUGAUUUGUAAAGAAUUAGAAUUGUUGUCUCAUAUUAUUGAAUACAAUUUGAAAUUUAUUUCAUUACUAAUAUACUUUUAUUGAGUUUUUCUUCCAAACUUCUACUCAGACAUUAGAUCGGGAAAUUGUGGAUGGACUAAAGCAAAUAAUUAAAUUGUAUGCAAGCCUUAAUUGAAAUCUAAAGGACUGUAUUAAAGUUAUUAGCAUAACAACUUAGUUGGAGUUUAUACUACAAACACUUAUUAUAAUAAGUUUUUAUCACAACUAUUGUAAAAAUGAAAUAUUCAAUUAUACUAAAAUUAUUUCA
rnacentral:lncRNA from 1 species